UAAUUUGGGUCUCUGUUUGCCAUGUUUCUA
rnacentral:piRNA from 1 species